rnacentral:misc_RNA from 1 species
CAGCUUUCAAGAGAACAUUAAAAGAAUGUAUACAGACCAAAAGUGACACUACCAUUCCAUAUUCAGACAGCUGAAACAGUUGACUCUGUCACAGUUCCUGAGAAUAAAAAUAUUUCUGACAGCCAUAUGUUUUAUUAUCCAUAAUCCGCAACAUUAUGGAUAUCAGACUGUUACAAACCUAUUCAAAUGAAGGAUAGAAGGCACAUUACUCCACCAAGCAUCCAAAAGAGGACAAGAAUCAAAUUCUAACAACACCAGACCAGGCCUAUUCCUUUCUUUAAGGCCAUACAAAAUGCUGACAUACUAACAUUUAACUUAAAGAAAUCAAUCCAGGUCAGGCUAUUCUUUAAGGUCAUACAAAAUGCUGACAUACUGAUAUUCAACAAUUGCACACUCUUCCCAGCCCCUAGAUAAAAUUGAAGCAUUCAAAAGAAUAUGGCCUAUAUAGAUAAAAUUCUUAACACUAGAUAGAAUUGAAAAAACACAAAAGGUUCAGGAUAAAUAAGAUCAUUAGGCCUAUUUUCAAAAACAAGGAUUAUCAAUUAAUAUAGCUCAAAGUAUUUCUCAGGCUGUGGCUACAUAAACUGCAUUCAACUCCUCACUUGAGCAUACAACUUCAAGUUUUCAAAUCAAAGUUGCAAGAUUUCUUUAAGGAUUACUUUGUGGUAAAUUUACUAUACAGUACAUAUGAGUUUAUACUUCAGACGCGCAAAAGAGAUAUAAGGGCAUGUCCUAAACAUAGAGUAACCCUAAAAGCAAUAAGAGAUAAUGCAAAAACUGUAGAGUGCAUAUUCUAAAGGGAUCUGUGUGGUAGAGCGACAGUUUGUG